rnacentral:tRNA from 2 species
GGCCAGGUAGCUCAGUUGGUACGAGCGUCCGCCUGAAAAGCGGAAGGUCGGCGGUUCGAUCCCGCCCCUGGCCACCA